CUUUAAAUUGGCGGUACUCAACGUGUGGGUCCCCAGAUGUUGUUAGACUACAAUUCCCAUCAUCCUUGAGCUCUGGUCUUGCUAGCUAGGGAUGAUGGGAGUUGUAGUUCAACAACAUCUGGGGACCCACAGGUUGAGAAAGGCUGCUUUAAAU